UACAGAGGUCUCAAGCGUUGUUCGGAUUCAUUGGGCGUAAAGGGCGCGUAGGCGGCUUUGCGUGUCUUUCGUGAAAUCCCUCGGCUCAACUGAGGACGUGCGGAAGAAACUGCAGGGCUGGAGUCCGGGAGAGGAGGGUGGAACUCCCAGUGUAGCGGUGAAAUGCGUAGAUAUUGGGAGGAACACCGGUGGCGAAGGCGGCCCUCUGGACCGGUACUGACGCUGAUGCGCGAAAGCGUGGGGAGCAAACGGG
rnacentral:rRNA from 1 species